rnacentral:lncRNA from 1 species
UUUCACCCCAAAAUGCCAUUUUUUACCCCCAAACCCCCCUAUUUCCACCCCAAAUCCCAUUUUUCCACCCCCAAAACCUCACUUUUCAUCCCAAAAAAACCCACAUUUCCACCCCAAAUCCCGCUUUUUUAACCCAAAAACUCCACUUCCUCACCCCAAAAAUUCCACAUUUUCACCCUAAAGCUCCAAUUUUUCACCCCCAACUCCACACUUUCGACCCCAAAACCCCCCUUCCACCCCCAAUCCCCGCUUUUUCACCCUAAAAAUGCACUUUUUUACCCCCAAAACAUCCUUUUUCACCCCCAAAUUCCACUUUUUCACCCCCAAAAUUCCACCUUUUCACCCCAAAUUUCCACCUUUCCACCCCCAAAAUUCCACCUUUCCACCCCAAAUUUCCACCCUUUCACCCCAAAUUUCCACCCUUUCACCCCCAAAUUCCACUUUUUCACACCACAUUUCCACCCUUUCACCCCAAAAUUCCACUUUUUCACUCAAAAAUUCCACCUUUUCACCCCCAAAAUUCCACCCUUUCACCCCAAAAUUUCCACUUUCUCACCCCAAAAUUCCACCCUUUCACCCCAAAUUUCCACUUUUUCACCCCAAAUUUCCACCCUUUCACCCCAAAUUUCCACUUUUUCAUCCCAAAUUUCCACCCUUUCACCCCAAAAUUCCACUUUUUCACCCCAAAUUUGCACCUUUCCACCCUAAAAUUCCACCUUUCCACCCCAAAUUUCCACAUUCCACCCCCAAACCUCCAUAUUUCCCCCCCCCCAGGCCCCAUCUUUCACCCCAAAACACGGCGGGGGCGAAAUUAAUGAAUGAGAGCCAAUUAAUGACUUAAUUAGCAGGCCGUUAAUUAACGAGGGCGGUACCUGAGACGUCGGGGAAUUUGGGGUUGCUGCCCCCCCCCACGAUGGCCAGCAGGUUGGAGCGGUUCAGCAUCUCCACCAGCCCCACGCUGCCCACCUGCUCCGCAUCUGGGGGGGGGAAGUUAAUUAGCUGCAGUUAAUUAACAUUCAUAAUUACUGCUCCUCCCCCCCCACAUCCCCAGACCCACAGAAGGUUGGAAAAUGGGGGGGUUUUGGGGUGGGGGGGGCAAUUAGUGGGACCCCCCUCAUCACACACACAGACCCAUAGAAGUUUGGAAGAACUGGGGUGGGGAGGGGAGUAAUUAACAGGACCCCCCCCCCCUAAUUAAUAUUCAUAAUUACUGCCCUCCCCCCACAUCCCCAGACCCACAGAAGGUUGGAAAAUGGGGGGGUUUUGGGGCGGGGGGGGCAAUUAGUGGGACCCCUCCCCCCAUCACACACAUAUACUCACACCCAUAGAAGUU